AUGAGAAUGAUUGAUUGAUGUGGAUGUCAAGGAUUAUUAACACAUCAAUCAAUCAUUCUCGUUU
ensembl:miRNA